rnacentral:tRNA from 1 species
GGAGGUCAGCGGCUCAGCUGGGAGAGCGCCUGCCUUGCACGCAGGAGGUCAGCGGUUCGAUCCCGCUAGGCUCCACCA